UUGAAAGGGAAACGAUUGAAGUCAGUCGUACCGACGAGAAAUCAACUUAUCGUGUGCGAACUUGUGGGCGUGCGUGAGUUUCGGCCUCGCUGUUUGCAUGUUUGUGCGCUUUGGGUGUACUUUUUCGUAUGGUAGGCCAACGUCAGUUUCGAUUAUCAUAAAAUGACCGGCGGAAUGUAGCUUCGAUUUCGGUUGAAGUGUUAUAGCCUCUGGUAGAUGUGGUGAUUGAGACUGAGGAUUGCAACGAAUAUCCUUUGGGCUAUCCGUCUGGCCUCUGAAAGUUGCUCAGGUGCCGAAAGCGUGCUUACGGUCAUCUAAGAUAACGUUCAACAGGUUAGAACGUGAUUACAUUCGUUAAGGAUGUUGACGUA
rnacentral:rRNA from 1 species